UUCCCUCUCACUAUUGUCUUAGUCAGUGUCGGACUCGCUCUGUUUCUUUUACUACUCCUGCUGCUGCUGUUUGUAUGUCAUAGGACUCGAGAUUCAACAUUCACUGAGGGUAAGAAGGCCAGGAGAAAAGAAAAGAAAAAGACUGCGAUUACCCCCAAUCGGGGGGCUGUCCAGAUUGAUAAG